ensembl:lncRNA
GGACUACUGAGUCAUUUCAUUGGCGCCCCCGCGCACGGUCUGGAGCAGGACGGCAGUGCGUGAUCAACGAGUGGUGACCAAUCAGAGUACGCGAGGGUGCACGUGCACAGGCCGAUUAUUGGCUGGGGCAAGGCACGGUCCUGGGGCCCUGACCAAUAGAGAGGCGUUGCGCCCAUGUGGACAGCUAGUGGGAAACAAUAUUUGUUAGGGAGGGGGCGGAAACAGGAAUCUCCGGCUUGCGGCGUGUCAGCCGUUCCCAUGGUUACACGUGGAGGCGGGGUUUCUAGUAGCCUGGGCUUAAGGGGAUUCGUACUGGAACGUGAGGUGGUGCCUGUAAAGGCUUUGUGGUUCUGAUUAGGAUUCUAAACAUGAGCAAAACAUCCAGCAAACCCAAUCUGAAGGACAUUCUACAAAGCACCUGAUGAGUGUGCCUCGACACUCAAGGCCAACAAAGCAAGAGAAGACCCAGAAACCCCCAGAGAACCAUGGAGACGUGAUGACAAUGAAAUGUGGUGUCCUAGAGUGGCGCCCACAGCAGUAAAGGACAGAAAGUUGGAAGGGAGAAGGCAUAUGAGGGAAGAAGGCAACUAAGGACAGGGAUACAAGAGAAAAUAAAACACAAUUCUAUAAAGAAGUACUGCAGACAAGUUUUAUUUGAUUCUCCAUUUUGGUGGAGAGACUGGAGUUCACAUAAGGGCAGAAGGACUGUUUUGCUAAAGAUAUCUUAUUCUAAACAGCAUAAGGAUCCUGCCUUCUUCUUGCAUGGUUUCAGUUCAAUUCAGUUCAGUCGCUCAGUCGUGUCCGACUCUUUGCGACCCCAUGAAUCACAGCACGCCACGCCUCCCUGUCCAUCACCAACUCCCGGAGUUCACUCAGAUUCACGUCCAGCGAGUCAGUGAUGCCAUCCAGCCAUCUCAUCCUCUGUCGUCCCCUUCUCCUCCUGCCCCCAAUCCCUCCCAGCAUCAGGGUCUUUUCCAAUGAGUCAACUCUUCGCAUGAGGUGGCCAAAGGACUGGAGUUUCAGCUUUAGCAUCAUUCCUUCCAAAGAACUCCCAGAGCUGAUCUCCUUGAGAAUAGACUGGUUGGGUCUCCUUGCAGUCUGCAUGGUUUGCUGCUGCUGCUAAGUCGCUUCAGUCGUGUCCGACUCUGUGUGACCCCAUAGAUGGCAGCACACCAGGCUCUGCCGUCCCUGGGAUUCUCCAGGCAAGAACACUGGAGUGGGUUGCUAUUUCCUUCUCCAAUGCAUGAAAGUGAAAAGUGAAGGUGAAGUCGCUCAGUUGUGUCCGACCCUCAGCGACCCCAUGGACUGCAGCCUUCCAGGCUCCUCCGCCCGUGGGAUUUUCCAGGCAAGAGUACUGGAGUGGAGUGCCAUUGCCUUCUCCGCCACAUGGUUUACACACAGGUAAUAUAGUGUGUUGUGAGGACAACUGGAUAGAGCAAGGAAAGUUGUCUCCUGCGGAUGAACUUAAUAGCAGAUUACAAUUCCAUUAUGAAAACUGAACAGGCAGAUCAGAAAGCAAGGCAUGUGAGAUAAGUAACCAUUAACGAUCUUAGGUAAAUAUAACUAGAUUUGUAUUGAAUGCAGGCUCGAUGGGAAAAGCUCACUGUGACCUAGCAUCAUUCAUUCUACAUGACUGCCUCCUACUCUGCCUUGGAGACGGUCAUGUGGUAACAGACUCUUGUUGAUUUCACAAAACACCUCCUUGCAAAUAUCUGAUGCUCAGGAAGAACUCUAAUUAAGUUAAGUAAUAAAAUUAUCAUGAAAGCAAUGUAAAUUGUAAUAACAUUUAAAAAUCACUUUAUGAACUGAGUCCAGAGAAUCAAGACUGUUUUCCAGUGGACUCGUGCUGCGAACAUGUGAAUGGGCGCCAGUCCCAGACCCCUGUUCUGGUCCCAUUCAGACCCUUCCGCCACUGGAGCCCUUCUCCCUGGUCUGAAGCAAUACCCACUGUUGUCAGCUCAGCAUGUACAUUUGUAAGCUUCCCUGGUAGCUCAGGUGGUAAAAUAUACAUCUGCAAUGCAGGAGACUGGCUUCAAUCCCUGGGUCGGGAAGGUCCCUGGAGAAGGGAAUGGCUACGCACUCCAGUAUUCUUGCCUGGAGAACCCCAUGGCCAGAGGAGCCUGGCUGGCUGCGGUCCAUGCGGUUGCAAAGAGUCAGACACCGACUGAGUGGCUUAGCAUGCACGCAUGGUGUGUCUAUUUAGUUUCUAUGUGUUUGUCUUGCACACAGUCACACAUAAAUUAUCUUAUACUUAUGGGUCUACACCUGGUUUCUCUUCACGGCGAAGUAUCCUGGAGCUUUUUUUAAUCAGUACCUAAAGGCCUGCCUUUAUGUAAUGCACAAUUCCAUUUUGUAAAAGCACCAUUGUUUGUAUAAUCGCAGUACCCCUAAUAGGCAUUCAGGUAGCUUUAGAUUUGGGGUCAUUAAUAAUAACAGUGCUGAACAUCUCGUGUCUCUUGUAUAUGUGUGUUAAGUAUUUCCCCUAGGAUAGAAACCUUACAGUGUAGUUGCUGGGUCAAAGGAUGUGUCAUUUUAAACGUAAAUAGAUGCUGCUAGAAUGUUCCCCCCAAAAUCAUAUCCUCUUAAUGAGUGGACGG